rfam:Xenococcus sp. PCC 7305 scaffold_00167, whole genome shotgun sequence.
GGGCGAUUGGCGGAAUUGGUAGACGCACCACACUCAAAAUGUGGCGAGAAAUCGUGAGAGUUCGAGUCUCUCAUCGCCCA